rnacentral:lncRNA from 1 species
UAUCCAUGGUUUUAAUAUUCAUCACUAAUGGUGUUUGUUGGUAUAUGACAAUUUUUUUUGUAGUGCAUACUUGACAAAUUCUUCAAAUCUUCUAUAGGUCUUAUGACAUAAUCGCACUUUGGAUUCAAUGAACUCAAAAUCUUCGACACUAUAGAUUUUGAUGUUAACACUUUUUCACACGUCUUGAUUUGAUUAACCAGUUUUGUUAUUCUGGUGAAGAAAUCAGUCACACUUUCAUUGUCUUCCAUCUGAAACAAUUCAUACAUUCUUUUGUGAGUUUGUAACCUCACCUCCUUCACUUUCUCAGUGCUUCCAAAUGAUUUUUCCAGGAUAUCCCAUGUUUCCUUUGUUGAAUCUACAUUGCCAACUUUCUCAAAGUUGUCUGGAUCAACACAUUGAUGGAUUAAAAAGAGAGUCUUGUAAUCUUUCUUCUUCAAAUCUUAGUGUGCAACCUUUUGUUCAUCCGUAACAUUCUCUCAAAU